rnacentral:rRNA from 1 species
GACGAACGCUGGCGGCGUGCUUAACACAUGCAAGUCGAACGGUCCUGUUUUUGAAGCGUUUCGGCGUGGAGGGGACGGGGCAGUGGCGCACGGGUGAGUAAUGCGCGAGGACCUGCCCGCGGGAGGGGGACAGCAGUUGGAAACGGCUGGUGAUACCCCGUAGGCCGGGAGGUAAAAGGGCGGAGACGCCCGCCUGCGGAUGGACUCGCGUCCUAUCAGCUAGUUGGUGAGGCAACGGCUCACCAAGGCGACGACGGGUAGCCGGCCUGAGAGGGUGUCCGGCCACACUGGAACUGAGACACGGUCCAGACUCCUACGGGAGGCAGCAGUGGGGAAUUUUGGGCAAUGGGGGAGACCCUGACCCAGCGACGCCGCGUGAGGGACGAAGGCCCUUGGGUCGUAAACCUCUUUUGCAGGGGAAGAAGUGCGUGACGGUACCUUGCGAAUAAGUCCCGGCUAACUACGUG